rnacentral:rRNA from 1 species
UAAUUGAAGAGUUUGAUCAUGGCUCAGAUUGAACGCUGGAGGCAGGCCUAACACAUGCAAGUGGAGCGGUAACAGGAGAAAGCUUGCUUUCUUGCUGACGAGCGGCGGACGGGUGAGUAAUGUAUGGGGAUCAGCCCGAUAGAGGGGGAUAACUACUGGAAACGGUGGCUAAUACCGCAUAAUGUCUACGGACCAAAGCAGGGGCUCUACGGACCUUGCACUAUCGGAUGAACCCAGAUGGGAUUAGCAAGAAGGGGGGGU